UAUGGCCAUAUAGCAUUGAAACAUUGGUUCCCAUAUGGUCACUGAAGUUAAGUAACAUCGAGUCUGGUUAGUACCUAGAUGAGUGACCAUUUGGUAAUACCAGGUGCUGUAAG